rnacentral:rRNA from 1 species
CCUUGCCAGCCCGCUCAGAAACUUAAAGGAAUUGACGGGGGCCCGCACAAGCGGAGGAGCAUGUGGUUUAAUUCGAUGAUACGCGAGGAACCUUACCUGGGCUCGAACGUAAGAUGACUGUAGGUGAAAGCUUACAUCUCUUCGGAGCAUUUUACGAGGUGCUGCAUGGUUGUCGUCAGCUCGUGUCGUGAGAUGUUGGGUUAAGUCCCGUAACGAGCGCAACCCUUGUCCUUAGUUACCAGCACGUUAUGGUGGGCACUCUAAGGAGACUGCCGGUGACAAACCGGAGGAAGGUGGGGAUGACGUCAAGUCAUCAUGGCCCUUACGGCCUGGGCUACACACGUGCUACAAUGGUCGGUACAAAGGGUUGCCAAGCCGCGAGGUGGAGCUAAUCCCAUAAAACCGAUCGUAGUCCGGAUCGCAGUCUGCAACUCGACUGCGUGAAGUCGGAAUCGCUAGUAAUCGUGAAUCAGAAUGUCACGGUGAAUACGUUCCCGGGCCUU